GGAACAUACGAAUAUAUUCCAAUUCCAUACAGCUCUCUCGCUUUCUCUUGAAAAGCCAGUCAUCUCUUUUCAUUGCGAUAAAAAAAAUCUCCUAAUGUCGGAAGAAAAGGGUUUGGGGAUUGGGAUGUUUCAGCAGAGGGUUUCACUGUGAUUUUCAAUAAAGCCACAGGGAUGAGAAGAAAACAGGUGGCAAACCGGAGUCACCACCAACCACUUCCGAUCCUCAUGCUACUGCCACCGUUAAGCAGCCUCAAUAUAGGAAGUGGUUUUGCUGCAUAAAAGCACCUCAUGCGGAACCCUGACACCGGCCGCCGUCGCUGCUGAGUUUGUUUUGGUUGGAAUAGCCAACUUUUUAAAUUUGCCUUAUGUAUAUACCAACCAACCAACGGAAUUCAUUGUUUAUUGCUUCUACUCUUUUGGUACGAUAAUUCUAAUGAAUCUCGAUCGAAAAAAUUACCAACGUUUUA